rnacentral:rRNA from 1 species
UACGUAGGGAGCAAGCGUUGUCCGGAAUCAUUGGGCGUAAAGCGCGCGUAGGUGGCUUCGUAAGUCCGUUGUGAAAGUCAAAGGCUCAACCUUUGAAAGCCGAUGGAUACUGUGAAGCUAGAGUACGGAAGAGGCGAGUGGAAUUCCUGGUGUAGCGGUGGAAUGCGCAGAUAUCAGGAAGAACACCCGUGGCGAAGGCGGCUCUCUGGGACGGUACUGACGCUGAGACGCGAAAGCGUGGGGAGCGAACAGG